rnacentral:rRNA from 1 species
CAAGUCACGGGGGCCCGCAAGGGCAACCGGCGAACGGGUGCGUAACACGUGAGCAACCUGCCGAUCUGUGGGGGAUAGCCGGGCUAACGCCCGGGUAAUACCGCAUACGUUCCCGAGGGGGAAUCCUCUUGGGAAGAAACCUCCGGGGCGGAUCGAGGGGCUCGCGGCCUAUCAGCUAGUUGGCGAGGUAACGGCUCACCAAGGCGACGAUGGGUAGCUGGUCUGAGAGGAUGGCCAGCCACAUUGGGACUGAGAGACGGCCCAGACUCCUACGGGAGGCAGCAGUGAGGAAUCUUGCGCAAUGGCCGAAAGGCUGACGCAGCGACGCCGCGUGUGGGAGGACGCUCUUCGGGGUGUAAACCACUGUUGCCCGGGACGAACACGGUCUUUCGAGACCGCUGACGGUACCGGGUGAGGAAGCACCGGCUGACUCCGUGCCAGCAGCCGCGGUAAUACGGAGGGUGCGAGCGUUGUCCGGAAUCAUUGGGCGUAAAGGGCGCGUAGGCGGCCCGGUCAGUUCGUGGUGAAAGCGCGGGGCUCAACUCCGCGUCGGCCAUGGAUACUGCUGGGCUCGAGCACUGUAGAGGCAGGCGGAAUUCCGGGUGUAGCGGUGGAAUGCGUAGAGAUCCGGAAGAACACCGGUGGCGAAGGCGGCCUGCUGGGCAGUAGCUGACGCUGAGGCGCGACAGCGUGGGGAGCAAACAGGAUUAGAUACCCUGGUAGUCCACGCCGUAAACGAUGGGCACUAGGCGCUUGGGGGAGCGACCCCCCGAGGGCCGGCGCUAACGCAUUAAGUGCCCCGCCUGGGGAGUACGGCCGCAAGGCUGAAACUCAAAGGAAUUGACGGGGGCCCGCACAAGCGGUGGAACAUGUGGUUUAAUUCGACCCACCCC